UACAGAGGGUGCAAGCGUUGUUCGGAAUCACUGGGCGUAAAGGGCGUGUAGGCGGUUGGGAAAGUCAGAUGUGAAAGCCCGGGGCUUAACUCCGGAAGUGCAUUUGAAACUACCUAGCUAGAGUGUAGUAGAGGUUGGUGGAAUUCCUAGUGUAGAGGUGAAAUUCGCAGAUAUUAGGAGGAACACCAGUGGCGAAGGCGGCCAACUGGGCUACAACUGACGCUGAUACGCGAAAGCGUGGGGAGCAAACAGG
rnacentral:rRNA from 1 species